GAGAGUUAAACAGUACGUGAAAUUGUUGAAAGGGAAACGAUUGAAGCCAGUCGUACCUUCGGGUAAUCAGCCUUUCGGGUGCGAUUCUGUGGAGUGUGAGGAGCUUAAACACCUUCAUGUUUUGCAUAUUCGUACUCUUGGGUGUACUUGCCCGUGUGGUUGGUUAACAUCAAUUUUGGUGGUCAUAAAAUGACUGGAGGAAUGUAGCUUCGAUCUUGUAUUGAAGUGUUAUAGCCUUCGGUAGAUGUGAUGAUCAAGAUUGAGGAUUGCAACGGAUACCCUUCGGGGCUACCUGUCUGGUCUCUGAUCGUUGCUCUGGUGCCGAAAGCUUGCUUACGGUUAUCAAAGUCGAUGGUCAAUAGGUUAGAACGGGUUAAAUUCGUUAAGGAUGUUGACGUAAUGGCUUUAAACGA
rnacentral:rRNA from 1 species